AUGAACGCUAGCGGCAGGCCUAACACAUGCAAGUCGAGGGGUAUAGUUCUUCGGAACUAGAGACCGGCGCACGGGUGCGUAACGCGUAUGCAAUCUACCUUUUACAGAGGGAUAGCCCAGAGAAAUUUGGAUUAAUACCUCAUAGUAUGUGAGAAUCGCAUGGUUUUCACAUUAAAGUUCCAACGGUAAAAGAUGAGCAUGCGUCCCAUUAGCUAGAUGGUAAGGUAACGGCUUACCAUGGCGACGAUGGGUAGGGGUCCUGAGAGGGAGAUCCCCCACACUGGUACUGAGACACGGACCAGACUCCUACGGGAGGCAGCAGUGAGGAAUAUUGGACAAUGGGCGCAAGCCUGAUCCAGCCAUGCCGCGUGCAGGAUGACGGUCCUAUGGAUUGUAAACUGCUUUUGUACAGGAAGAAACACUCCCUCGUGAGGGAGCUUGACGGUACUGUAAGAAUAAGGAUCGGCUAACUCCGUG
rnacentral:rRNA from 1 species